rnacentral:rRNA from 1 species
GAGUUUGAUCAUGGCUCAGAUUGAACGCUGGCGGCAGGCCUAACACAUGCAAGUCGAGCGGUAGGGAAGCUUGCUUCUCACGAGCGGCGGACGGGUGAGUAAUGUAUGGGGAUCUGCCCGAUAGAGGGGGAUAACUACUGGAAACGGUAGCUAAUACCGCAUAAUCUCUAAGGAGCAAAGCAGUUCGUUGCGCUAUCGGAUGAACCCAUAUGGGAUUAGCUAGUUGGUGAGGUAAUGGCUCACCAAGGCGACGAUCCCUAGCUGGUCUGAGAGGAUGAUCAGCCACACUGGGACUGAGACACGGCCCAGACUCCUACGGGAGGCAGCAGUGGGGAAUAUUGCACAAUGGGCGCAAGCCUGAUGCAGCCAUGCCGCGUGUAUGAAGAAGGCCUUAGGGUUGUAAAGUACUUUCAGUUGGGAGGAAGGCGUUGAUUAAUAUCAACGAUUGACGUUACCAACAGAAGAAGCACCGGCUAACUCCGUGCCAGCAGCCGCGGUAAUACGGAGGUGCAAGCGUUAUCGGAAUUACUGGGCGUAAAGCGCAC